rnacentral:rRNA from 1 species
GGGAGAUCGACGGCGGCGGUCCGGUGAGAAGAGGCAGGCGGCCAUCGUAGGCGCUUGUCCGGCGGCGGCGCCGCUAGGAUGGCGCCCGUGCAUCGGCGACCUGGAGAUCCUCCUCCACGAUACGGUCAGUGUGUUGCCCAUAACCCUAACCCUCGAUCCUCUUUUUCCGUGGAUUUCGAUUUAGCUCGAAUCGAUGGUAGUAUUUGACUGAAUCCCUCGAUACCUAGGAGCACAAGAGGAGGUUUUUACCGUAGAAAUCAACUAUGGUGGAUUUUUCUGCGAAUUUGGCCGAUCGAAGACGUAUGUCGAUGGUAAAGUUGCUCUGUUCGAUGGUUGCGAAGUAGAUACAUGGUCUCCUCUCUGGCUCACUGAUUUUAUGCAGCAACUGGGAUAUAGUGACCAAUCUAAGCAUGUUAUUUACUGGUUACUGCCUGGAAAGAAUUUAGCCGACGGACUGCGGAUUGUGGACUGUGACACUGACACUUUGCACAUGACAGCAGUUGUUCCAAAAUUCCAGUUGUUUCAGUUGUUUGUUGAUCACAAAGAUAUGGCCUUUGACAAUGUAAUGGAUGAUAUUCAUGUUAGUGGUACACCUGAGCUACCUCUUGUACUAAGCCCUAAAUCUCAUGGGUUUAGCAGUGGAAUAAGAGGAAGUCCCAGGUUUAAGGUGAAAGCUCACAAAGGCAGACUGAACCAAUGUCAUGCAGGCAGCAGCAAUGAAGGGAGUAGCAGUGUUCCACCAGUGGGACUAAAUGUUGGACAUGAGCUUAGAAGAAGCAGGAGGAAACUUGUGGUAGAAGAAGAAAUCCCCAAUGAAAAUGACAGUGACAGUGAUAGUGAUGACAGUGAAUGGGAUUCAGACUGGGUAGACUCUGACAAUGAAGUAGGCAAAGAUGAUGAUGAUCUAUAUGAAGAAUGGGUUGAUGAAAAAUUUGAGAAAAAAAAAAAGAAGAAAUCUGAAUGGGAGCAGGACAGUGACUAUGAUACAGAUGAACUGCAGGAGCUACAAGGUUCAGAGCUUGAAGAUAGUGAUUCAGCAGAGGAAGUGGAAGUAGUAGAUGCACAAGGAAGGAACAAAAUGAAAAAGAAAGUGAAGCUGAAAAGGUGGAGGCCUGAGAACAUGAAAGAAGUCAAUUUUCACAUAGGCAUGGUGUUCUUGUCUGUCAUUGAACUAAGAGUAGCAAUUCAGGAGUACAUUGUGAAGCAAAGAGUGCAAAUUCAUUACAUAAAGAAUGAUAAGCAGAGGAUAAGGGCAGGUUGUGUUGGAGAUUGUCCCUGGUUCUUAUUUGCUGCACCUGACAGCAGGACCAAAGCAUGGGUUGUGAAGAAGUAUGUGGGUGAGCAUACAUGUGAAAGAGAGUGGGCACUGAAGCAAUUUACAGCAAGAUAUUGUGUGAGGCAUCUGCAUCAAAACUUUGCAAAAAACUGGAAAGGUGAUGUAUUCAAGAAUAAAUUGUGGCAAAUUGCAAGAGCUACACAUGAGGCAGACUGGAAGAAGUACAUGCAAGAGAUGAAAGAGUUGGACCAGGGGGCCUAUGAGUACUUGGAUGCAAUUGACCCAAGGCAGUGGUGCAAGGCCUAUUUCCAUGAACUCCCAAAGUGUGAUUUGCUUCUUAACAACAGCUGUGAAGUGUUCAACAAGUAUAUACUUGAUGCCAGAGAAAUGCCUAUAGUUACUUGUCUUAAGAAGAUCAAGGACCAAUUAAUGACUAGGUUUUAUAGCAAGAAUCUGGAAUCUGAGGAGAUGUGUGGUCAAAUUUGUCCAAAAAUUAGAAAAAAACUGGACAAAAAUAUUAACAUGUCCAACAACUGCACUGCAUUACCAGCUGGACAACACAUAUUUCAUGUUAAAGGCAUGGUUGGGGAGUAUGAUGUGAACAUACAGAAGGAGGAGUGUUCUUGUAGGGCAUGGCAGCUCUCUGGAAUUCCAUGUAGACAUGGAGUUGCAUGUUUAAGACAUGAAAGAAUUAAACCAGAGGAUGUUGUCAACAAGUGCUACAACAUAGAUGCUUUCAGAGCUGCUUAUGGCAAGAUCAUAAUGCCAUGUAGUGAUCCUAGAGUGUGGCCUAAAACUAAUGGGCCUCAAAUGCUGCCACCACACUAUGAGAAGAAAGUUGGUAGGCCUGGAAAGAAGAGAAAGAAGAACCCACUAGAGGAGGACAAUGGAACUAGGAUGAGCAGACAUGGCAUUAUUGGACACUGCAGUGUGUGCAAUCAACCAGGACACAACAAAAGAAAGUGCCCUGAACUAGGUAGAGGACAACCAACAGCAGCACAUGAGGCAGGAGCAGAACAAGAUCCAGCAGCAGAACAAUAUCCAGCAGCAGAAGAGGAAGCAGCAGAACAUGUGCAAACAACAGAACAUGUGCCAAUUCAGGUUGUGCUUCCAGAAACACAACAAAGAACUAAACUACCAGUCAAGAGAAGGCCCAGUUGCAAGAAAAAGGCAUGUCCACAAGUGGGCAGAAGUACAUCUAAUAUGAUAUCUUCUUCUAUGAAUUAUGAUCUUGCUUCAUCUACUAUGAUUGAGAUUUUACAGGACCAAGCUAUAGCUACUCAACAAUCUCAAACAGCAGUGCCAGCUCCUCUACCAGAAAGCCAGUUCAUUGCAAACUGCAGAGAUGCCCUGCCAGCUCCAAGAAGCCACACUACUGCUACACUAGGUUUGAAGAGAAGGAAGAAAGUGAAAAAAACUAAGGAGAACAAAGCCCCAACAACUCAGAAGUGAAGAGCUACAAAGAUGU